GACGAACGCUGGCGGCGUGCUUAACACAUGCAAGUCGAACGGUGAAGCGCCUUCCUUUUUGGUGGGUGUGGAUGAGUGGCGAACGGGUGAGUAACACGUGAGUAACCUGCCCCCUUCUUCUGGAUAACCGCAUGAAAGUGUGGCUAAUACGGGAUAUUCUGGGUCUGUCGCAUGAUGGGUCUGGGAAAGAUAUUGUUUCGGUGGGGGAUGGGCUCGCGGCCUAUCAGCUUGUUGGUGGGGUGAUGGCCUACCAAGGCGGUGACGGGUAGCCGGCCUGAGAGGGUGGACGGUCACGCUGGGAAGGAGACACGGCCCAGACUCGUACGGGAGGCAGCAGUGGGGAAUACUGCACAAUGGGCGCGAGACUGAUGCAGCGACGCCGCGUGAGGGAUGGAGGCCUUCGGGUUGUGGACCUCUUUCGCCAGUGAAGCAGGCCUGCCUCGUUUGUGGGUGGGUUGACGGUAGCUGGAUAAGAAGCGCCGGCUAACUACGUG
rnacentral:rRNA from 1 species